GGGAAAAGCAAAAAAAGAGAAUGAAUGAAGAAUCCAAUUUCUAAUUCAUUUCUGGUUCUAGUCAGAGUCCAUUGUAAAAUCCAGAGACGCCAUUAUUCCACCACAACCAACACUAACCUCAAAUCCUGGUUCAACAAAUACUUUGACAAGACCAAUGUCUUCUCGUGGAACUCGCUCAUCGCCGACUUGGCUCGAGCCGGCGAUUCAUUCGAGUCUCUUCGUGCUUUCUCCUCAAUGCGAAAGCUCGAUCUCAAACCCAGCCGCUCCACUUUCCCUUGCGCAAUUAAAGCAUGCUCAGCUCUGUUCGAUCUUCACUCCGGCAAGCAAGCUCAUCAACAAGCUCUUGUUUUUGGUUUUGAAUCAGACCUCUUUGUAUCAUCAGCGUUGAUUGAUAUGUACGCGAAAUGUGGGCGAUUAAGCGAUGCUAGAGUCCUGUUCGAUGAAAUUUCUCAAAGAAGUAUUGUCACAUGGACUGCGAUGAUUACUGGUUAUGUCCAAAAUGACAAUGCCUACGAAGCGUUAUCGCUUUUUAAAGAGUUCUUGAUUGAAGAGAGUGAGAGAAAUGGUGAGGGCACCGAUGUUUUUAUGGAUUCAGUUGCUAUGGUGGCUGUUUUAUCUGCUUGUUCUCGUGUUUCUGAGAAAGGAGUGAUUGAGGGAGUUCAUGGGUUUGUGGUAAAGAUGGGAUUGGAUAAAGAUUUGGGAGCUGAGAAUACUUUGUUGGAUGCAUAUGCAAAGUGUGGUGAAGUGGGCUUGUCUAGGAAGGUGUUUGAGGGGAUAGCUGAGAGGGAUUCAGUUUCCUGGAAUUCUAUGAUUGCUGUGUAUGCCCAAAAUGGGUUAUCCAGUGAGGCUUUUCUUGCUUUUCACGUGAUGAUAAAUGAUGGUGAUGUCAAAUACAAUGCAGUGACAUUGUCUACUUUGUUGUUAGCAUGUGCAAAUUCAGGGGCUCUGCGUGAGGGGAAGUGUAUACAUGAUCAGGUAAUAAGGAUGGGUUGGGAGGAUAAUGUGAUUUUGGGUACCUCUAUCAUAGAUAUGUAUUGUAAGUGUGGACGAGUCGAAAUGGCAAGGAAAGCAUUUGAUGGCAUGAAGGAGAAGAAUGUGAAGUCAUGGACUGCCAUGGUUACAGGCUAUGGAAUGCAUGGCUGUGCAAGAGAAGCUUUGGAUGUUUUCUACAAGAUGAUAGGAGCUGGGGUCAAACCAAAUUACGUAACUUUUGUUUCAGUUCUGUCUGCUUGUAGCCAUGCUGGCCUGUUAGAUGAAGGCUGGUAUUGGUUCAAUGCCAUGAAUCAUAAAUUUAAUGUAGAACCUGGGGUUGAGCACUAUAGUUGCAUAGUUGAUCUUCUUGGCCGUGCCGGUUAUCUCAAUGAAGCGUAUGAUUUGAUAAAGAGGAUGAGGACCAAGCCUGAUUAUGUACUCUGGGGCUCUCUUCUUGCAGCUUGUCGUAUUUACAAAAAUGUGGAGCUUGCAGAGAUUUCUGCAAGACAACUGUUUGAGCUGGACUCAAGUAACUGUGGAUAUUACAUCUUACUUUCGAACAUAUAUGCUGAUGCUGGAAGAUGGAAAGAAGUCGAAAGAAUUAGAGUACAUGUGAAAGAUCGUGGACUUGUUAAACCACCUGGAUUCAGUUUGGUUGAACUAAAGGGUAAGGUGCAUUUAUUCUUGGUUGGAGAUAAAGAGCAUCCUGAAUGUGAGAAGAUAUACAGGUUUUUGGAGGAACUUAAUGUGAAGUUGCAACAAGCUGGCUAUGCACCUAGUAUGGCAUCAGUUCUUCAUGAUGUUGAUGAGGAAGAGAAGGAAAUGGCCCUGCGAGUUCACAGUGAGAAGUUGGCUGUUGCCUUUGGGGUCAUGAAUUCAUUUCCUGGUUCAACAAUUCAUAUUAUUAAAAAUCUUAGGGUUUGUCAUGACUGUCAUACAGUCAUUAAGCUUAUUUCCAAGAUUGUUGAUCGAGAAAUUGUGGUAAGAGACGUAAAGCGAUUUCAUCACUUCAAGGAUGGUUUGUGUACAUGUGGAGACUAUUGGUGAGAUAUAUAUACAUGAAAAUAAUUAAGGUUACAGCAAUUUUAAGUGAAGGGUUAUUUUUGGCUGGAUCAACAAGCUUGUAACUAGAAAUUAGGAGAAUCAUUGUUCUGAUGGUGCUGUGUGCAACCUUCUGAUAUGAAAAAUUAUGCUGGUAGAAUACAGGAAUUUCCUAUGAUGAUUAAACUUCAAGUUUGAAACACAAGCACUUCUAAUUGCUUAAUCAAAAAGAUCUGAAAGAAGAUCUGUCAUCUCCUAAUUGUUAAUUCUAGAAAGAUCAACUCAAUGGGAUAGAUGUCAUAUAUUUGCUUCCAAGUUUAAUAGAGGUUGAAUGCCUUUUCUGAUGGAAUGAUUAUUGAAAUUGCUGAAGAUGGUUUCUAACUAUAGACACAGUUCUGGUGUGGAAAUCAUAGCACAAGUAUGCGGUCUGUUGACAACAUACUGGUAACCCUGUUGACCUGAGCACAUCACAAGUUAUAAAGAGGAUGGCAACUACUCAGUAAAAUUAAUUCGCAUAACUCGGAAGACAUCUUUACUGCUAUAAUGUUGGAGAUUGGAGUCAUAUCAACCACAGUAUUUGCUAGAGUUGAAAAGGCAACAACUGAAAACUUCCUGUCACGAUCAACCUUGUCAAAAGAACUUGCUUGAAAAUAUUCUUUUCAAUUUUGACGUCUGAAAUUGGUUUGGUUUCUCUCCAACUUUUAAGCAGUUGAUACAAUUUUGCAGGGCCCUGUUCUCACCCUUCAGAUGUUCCAGUUCUGACUGGAGUCUAUUAAUUACCACUCUCUUUUGGAUGUUUCUCCUUGCCAACUCGACCUGCUGCUUCAGAUUUUCCUCCAUGAGUUUUGUAACUUGAAACUUGAGUUCAGACCAUCUAUUGGCCUGCUCAUAACUAUUUUCUGAGAGAUCUCUAACCGUAGCCUGAUUCUGAACUGAGUUUGAAUCAUCUAUCUUCACAUUGACACCAUUUUGGUCGCACAAAUCUCUGGCGCCUUCAUUACAAUGGUUUUCUCUGCUAUCAAGUUUCAUUUUCAUUUCCAUGCUCUGUGCGUGUGGCUCAGUCGACAUCAGUUUUUCCACUAGCUUGUUCAGGUAUUCAAAGUUGAAGUCCGUAUUGUCACAAUCAGCAUCAGGGUCUUCAAGAAUGGAAUCCAGAUAGGAAUCAAAAAGCUUCAAUUCGGAAUUGGUGGAACUUGGUAUAAGUCUUGUCUUCUCAUUCGUGUCAGAACAUGCAGAAGGAAUGGAUCCUGGAUUAUUUUCAUGGCAUGAUUCAGACCUCAACUUAUCAUAUUUUUCAGCCAAAGAACGAUAAGAAUUAUUGAACCCUUCAAGCAUUUGAAACAGCUUCACCCUCCGCUUGCAAUGGAUCUCAUCUCUAGUAGAAGUAUUGUCAUCUUCUUCCAGAAGGGUCAUCAUGGCUUUAAUUCUCUUGUUUGAAUCUGCAUAUCAAGGAAAAGUACAAAGAGAAAGAACCGUAACUCCAGCAUUCUCGAGCAGUAACCAGAAGAAGAGUAAUCAUGAUAAAGCCAGCCAUAUUUCUGUGUCUCCUAAAAAAAUAAAGAACUUUCCUGCUAAAUUCUGUAGCUAUAAACUAUUUUAUGCUUAUGUUCUGCUGAGCUGAAUGAAACACAGAAACAGAGGAGGGAAGACUGACCUGAUAGAGUUAAUUGAAGCCAUUGGGAUUGCUGGGGACAAUCAUGGUUAUCUGGAGUUGAAGAACAAGAAGCUCCAUUGAAGCUCCAUUGUUUUCCAUUGAACAAUUCUUUUGUGAGACGAGAAUCUCUCUUGGCUUUCAAAACAGACAAAGCGAAACAGAGGAUGCACGUUAAGAAUUUUGGAAGCUCUAAAUAUAGGAGAGGAGAGAACAAAAAGUUGCCGCAUGUGUAGAGAUGAUCGAUUCUUCCUAUUUGAUCGCAUCUUUCUUACCCCCUUAUGAAUCAUCUUUUUAUCAAGGAAAUGCUAUUUA
rnacentral:misc_RNA from 1 species